rnacentral:rRNA from 1 species
AUUGAACGCUGGCGGCAGGCUUAACACAUGCAAGUCGAGCGCGCAGCGGCCGGGUGAGUAAUGUUUGGGAAACUGCCUGCUGGAGUGGGAUAACUACUGGAAACGGUAGCUAAUUCCGCAUACCAUCAGCUGUGCCCAGAUGGGAUUAGCUAGUAGGUGGGGUAGUGGCUCACCUAGGCGACGAUCCCGAGCUGGUCUGAGAGGAUGAGCAGCCACACUGGAACGGAGACACGGUCCAGACUCCUACGGGGGGCAGAAGUGGGGAAUAUUGCACAAUGGGCGAAAGCCUGAUGCAGCCAUGCCGCGUGUGUGAAGAAGGCCUUCGGGUUGUAAAGCACUUUCAGCGAGGAGGCGGUACUCGCAGAAGAAGCACCGGCUAACUCCGUGCCAGCAGCCGCGGUAAUUC